rnacentral:rRNA from 1 species
CCUACGGGAGACAGCAGUAGGGAAUUUUGCGCAAUGGGCGAAAGCCUGACGCAGCAACGCCGCGUGAUCGAGACGCCCUUCGGGGUGUAAAGAUCUGUCAGUGGGGACGAAACUUGACGGUACCCACAGAGGAAGCACCGGCUAACUCCGUGCCAGCAGCCGCGGUAAUACGGAAGGCCCGAGCGUUAUCCGGAUUCAUUGGGCUUAAGGGGAGCGUAGGCGGGCGUUCAAGUCAGCUGUAAAAUCGCGCGGCUCAACCGCGCCCCGCAGUUGAAACUGGAAGCCUUGAGUUCAGAACAGGCAGGCGGAAUUCGUGGUGUAGCGGUGAAAUGCAUAGAUAUCACGAGGAACCCCGAUUGCGAAGGCAGCCUGCCGGGGUGCGACUGACGCUGAGGCUCGAAGGUGCGGGUAUCAAACAGGAUUAGAUACCCCAGUAGUC